UGGGGAAUAUUGGACAAUGGGCGAAAGCCUGAUCCAGCCAUGCCGCGUGUGUGAAGAAGGUCUUCGGAUUGUAAAGCACUUUAAGUUGGGAGGAAGGGCAGUAAGUUAAUACCUUGCUGCUUUGACGUUACCGACAGAAUAAGCACCGGCUAACUCUGUGCCAGCAGCCGCGGUAAUACAGAGGGUGCAAGCGUUAAUCGGAAUUACUGGGCGUAAAGCGCGCGUAGGUGGUUUGUUAAGUUGGAUGUGAAAGCCCCGGUCUCAACCUGGGAACUGCAUCCAAAACUGGCAAGCUAGAGUACGGUAGAGGGUGGUGGAAUUUCCUGUGUAGCGGUGAAAUGCGUAGAUAUAGGAAGGAACACCAGUGGCGAAGGCGACCACCUGGACUGAUACUGACACUGAGGUGCGAAAGCGUGGGGAGCAAACA
rnacentral:rRNA from 1 species